GCCAUCAUUAAGUUGGGCACUCUAGGGAGACUGCCGGUGUUAAACCGGAGGAAGGUGGGGACGGACGUCAAGUCAUCAUGGCCCUUAUGUCCAGGGCUACACACGUGCUACAAUGGCCGGUACAAAGGGUUGCGAAGCUGUGAAGUGAAGCUAAUCCCAAAAAGCCGGUCUCAGUUCGGAUUGGAGUCUGCAACUCGACUCCAUGAAGUUGGAAUCGCUAGUAAUCGCGCAUCAGCAUGGCGCGGUGAAUACGUUCCCGGGCCUU
rnacentral:rRNA from 1 species